UUUUUUUUUUUUUUUUUUUUUUUUUACACAAAGAGAAUCAGAGAAAAUAGGAACAUACCUAAAAAUCACACAGUUAGGAAGUGACAGAUCUGUGUGAGUUUUGAACCAAGCAGUUGUAUGUCCUCUUCCAUAGUCCAUGUUAUUUCUGCUGCACCUGCUGGGAAAAUAGAUUCAUGGAAGCCUAGGGGAAGAAGGGAUACAGAAGGAAGAGAAAAUGUCUGGAAACUGGGGGUCGCCUACUGCUGAGGUCAUGUACCCUAUUGUGUGUGCUAACAUGUGUGUUAACAUGUAACAGGGAUGGUGAGAAUCACCGGUGUUCCCUCUCACUUGCGGGAGGGAACCACAUGUGCUUGAGAGAGCGCCUGCUUAGAUUGCUAGGUGUCCAAGGUGGAAGUGGGACUAUAAACCCAAAUAUAUGGUAUAAAAUGUGCAAGAGCAACCACUUGUUUGGUUUGGUUUGUUGGCUGAGGGGGAUGACAUAAUAGGACAGCUUUGGUUUAGGAAAAUUAAUUUCUUUACUAGGGUUGAGUGGGUUGUAGCAUGGAUGUAGGGUACAUUCUAUGAAGAAUAGUUAUCAAUGCAGCUAAAACGUAGGGAGAAGGAGCAUUUGAGCUUUACUUGGGGGGAGUCGGGGACAGGUUUGCAGGAAAGCUGAUGUGGCUUUUGGCUUAAAGGGAUGAAUUUGGGGAGUGAAGGUGUCCCUGGAGGAGAGACUAGAGACUAGUCUAGCAGACCUGAAUUUAGAUUUCAUGUUGCUUCCAAAAGGAGUGACAACAGCUUAUGUACCACAAGAUAAAAUAGGGAAAAGCAGGUGAUGAGGCAGGGAUGGAUUUGUCCCUGUCAGCGGAGGGUGGGGGGGAUUUGCUCUCCCAUGCUAUAGACGCAGACCACUAUAUAUAGUGGAGGACAGGCAGAAACCAUGAUGAGGUGGCAGCAGCCGACUCCUGUCCUGUGAUAGCAGCAAGAAUAGCUGGGCACGCCGUCUGUAGAGCAGGGAUGAAGGCUGUAGCAGUGAUGGAGUGCUCACAGCCUUACACAUGCAUGUGUAUGCAUCUCACCCUUGGGUACCACGGCAGAGUCUUGGGGUUUUCAAGUUCCCUCCUCUGAGCAUGAGGCUCUGUGAUGCCCAGUAAGAGCUCCGGGAAGCAUAUGGAUGCUUCAUUCUCAGGUCCCUGGAGAGCCUGCUGGAGUUCUGUCUUUAUUGGCGUGAAAACCAUGGCUCAGCAUAGACUCCAGAACUCUGCUCCUGCUGGACACGUUGCCUAAAUGGCCAUUUUGUCUCACCCACAGUCUAUUGUCAGCUGUGGACACUUCAUGUUGGGAGGAGGGCUUUUGUGACUUUACUCUGUUCUUGAUCCCUCUGGCGUCAUCCCACCAUGAGUGUCUUCACUAACCACCUUCCACACUGCUGGUUUAGGUGCUCUGUGUUUUCCAUGCAGCCAGAGAGAGGCUGUCUGUCCUCUUAUAGUAGGCGGAGGAAAGUCUUCCCUUGACUCUCAGCACCUAUCUGCUUACAGAAGCAACUAGUAAACAUGACCUUGGCCUCCCCUUCUUCCUGGAUCUUGCCUUGUGUCUCUGUCUCAGUGGGUUUUGGUAGUGUGGAAUAUUUUGUAUUUCUUUGCCCCACUCCUCACCUUUUCUUGGGUGUGCUGAUGUCUAUCAUAGAAAAGUCUCUAUUACUAUGUAAAAGUUCAUAUUGAAGACUAGGAAGGCCGCAUUUCCAUGUGAAAUGGGACCGAGAGGGUGGCCCUGUGCCUGGUUAGAUGGAGUGGAGGUGGACCAUGGUGUUACUUGCUUGGGUUUGCUGGGGUGUUUGAUGUGGGUCCAGGUGAGUGGUACCUAAUGGGCAACUUCUAAUUUCAUUGUCCGUUGUAGAUGCCAAGCUUCUGGAAAGUCACCCCAAAUAAAAGCAGCCAUUGACUAAGCGCUUUCCAAAUGUCAUCUUUAGUCCUCCCGACCGCACUAAAAGUAGUAGUCACUCCAUUUAUAGCUGAGAAAACAGGCUCAGAGAGGGGAGUUGAUUUGCCAGAAGCUGUCAGAGUCUAAGGCUGUCUGGUUCCAAAGCUUGGGCUGUUUUCAAGAGUAUUGUCUUGCAACUUAUACCUAGGAGAGAGUAGGGACAUCAAUUCUAUGUCUGUAUAAGAAGGCAGGGAUCUUCGAAAUGGCAAGGUGUCUGUCUAUUCAUGCCUGAAAGGCCACUUAACAAUGUCUUCCUUUCUUAGGAGUUGGAGACUUACGGCAUAUUAAACAUAUUUUUCCUGCAUCAGGUUCCAAAUGUCCUUCUCCUGACUAAAGUAGAAUGUUCUUCCUUGGGCUAAGACAUCAGGGAGUGAGAAAGAAGGUAUUGGCCAGGAUAAAUGUCAUGGCAGAGGAACUGUUCCAUUUAAAGUAAUGACUAUCAAUUUUCUAAAUACAACCCAGGAACACACAGCCUCUUCCUGCAAGUCCCCAUAAAGCGAAGACAGCAGCUUAGUGUGCCCUGCUUGCUGGAUGCGUUCCGUUCCGAUCUGCUCCUGAAUCUGUCCCUUCUACCUCUCGUCUGUCUCUCCCCAUCCCUCUCCUUGCUCUUCCUUGCAUCACACUCUCUCUAACCAAUAUUUGAAAAGUAGCCUCUUGUCAGUGAAGAGAGUGCCUAUGGCCUCACAGCUGAAGGGCUUCCCUGUGUAUGUUUAUGGACAUAUUUACAUAGUAAAUAACUAUGAGAUAAAGUAGAAGAUGGGUCUCCUAGCAUUGGGGUAGUGUUCAGAGAGGUUUGAUGCAGGUUAACCGCCCUCUCUGGCUCCCACACUGAGAUGGAAUAGACAUGGUCUGUUUUUUUUUUUUAAUUAGGAAUUUUCUUCAUUUACAUUUCCAGUGCUAUCCCAAAAGUUCCCCAUACCCUCCCACCCCACUCCCCUACCCACCCACUCCCACUUCUUGGCCCUGGCGUUCACCUAUACUGAGGCAUAUAAAGUUUGCAAGCAUGGUCUGUAUUUGACAUCCAUAUCUCCCACAUAGAUGUGACCCCUGCCAGCCGGGGGCAUUCUAUAAAUGUUAGAAGGAAGGGGCAGGACUUCAUUAGUGUGACCUGGGUGUAAUGCCAGGGAUGCAGUACCGAAAUGUGACUGUGAUUUAGUAAUGUAAAACCUAAUUAAGGGCACUGAGCCCAGACUGGGGGACUAUCACGUGCUGAUUGGCAGGGGCACUUCUGAAAGGAAAGUUAAGGAAACAGAAGCUGGGAAUGUCUGUUCAGGCUCUGCCCCAGGCUCCAGAUUCUCUGGCAAGCCCAGCCUUAUUGUUAGAGUAAUUACAUCAGCGGUUUGCUACCACUGAGCUGUGUGGACUUCUUUUGCCUUGAUUCAUACUUAAGAGUUCAACUUCCUGGUGAUGGCUUGCUUGGCUUACCUGUGGCAUCAGCCUACACUGCGCAUGCUGGCCUGAGCACUGCAGGGCCACAUGGAUGCUGCAUUUUGUUGUUGUUGACAAUAAGUGCAACUUCUGGCUCAUGAAACAGCCUUAGGACCUUGGUUAAUUCAAGUCUUAUCCAAGGAUUGAUCUGCCCCUCCAAAACAGUCUAGUUUUAAUGUGCAUACCCUUUACUUUGGUGGGUAAUCAAAGAAAACGUCAUUUGUGGAGACUCCUGGGAGCAAUUAAUGGCACAGUCCUAGGCAAUGCUGCAGGCUUCCUACCUGUUGGCAGGCACACUUCACUCAAGAGCAUUCACCAUGAGGUUGCAUUGAAGGGACUUCAUAGCUGGCAAAAUGAUACAUGAGUGGAUCUAAACAAAUACUGCGCAAGAAGGUGGUAAAAAGACAAGUGACUGCCAGUUACAUUUUAGACAAAGAAGCCCUUUAAAGGCUGCAUUCAGACCGAGAAAAAGCAAGAAAGGAACAUAUCUCUGUUUAGGAGAUGCUAGUACUUAGUCAUAUUUAUUGUCUGCUAGUUUGCACCAGUUACUGCAGCAAGGGUCUCUAUGAGGAUCCCCACAGUGGACUUCCAGAAUGUGUCCUUCAAGCAGAUAAACUUAACUAUACCCCUGUGAUAGUUGGCGAUGUGAUGUAACACAGAACUCUUUUGUUUCUGUCUUGUCCAACAGGGCAUUGACCUCAAACCUAAAAGACAGAGAGACUUCAAGGUCCCAUGGCACUAGGGGACAGCGAUAGGAAGGAGGUGUGUAGCCAUGGUGCUAUAGGAUAGCUAUAGGAAGGAGGUGUGUAGCCUCUAGUUUUGAAGGAAUGACUUGGAUGAGUAGAGAGUGGGCCAAGGCUGAGAGAUUGUUGCAUGCCUACUAUCGUGUGACAGUCACCCAUCUUAGGAGCAGCAUAAAUUGAAUAGGUAAUAGGCAUAGGUGUCUAGGGAACUUAGAGACAAAGGAUGGUAUAUGUGAGGUCUCAACUCUCUGCUGCAUGUAAAGACAGAGAAGCAAUAACAACUUAUUAUAAAGAAAUGGGCAAAUCUACUCUUUUUGUUGUGUUAGAAUCCUUGGUCAAUAGCAUCAUAUUGAGUUUCCUGGGAACAGCUUGAUGUAUAAAAUCAGAGUUCCAUGACCUGGAUGGAUGCUGUAGGUGAAGGGAGUAAAGAUGGGCUUUACUGAUGGAUAGUCUCCCUGACAGUUUUCAAGAAGCUUUUGUUGUAGGAUUGGCUCCCACUCUCCAUGCAUAGGUAGCUUCUAUGGCUCAUGAUCACAAGGUGAGGGGACGGAGCCAUCUGGAGAGGAGACUUUUGGAAAUGUGACUCAGUGGGGAGGCCGUCACACUGAAACCCAGCUGCCUUUCCUAUCAGUUCUUAGAGGACAAAGCGACCGUCCUGCCUUUGCUCCAGCCUGGAAGAGGGCAACUUAUAGCUCCCAUUCUUUGUCCUCCUACACAGCUCAGGGUUUGUUCACAUGGUAGCAACCUUGUUUGAUCACUAAUUAGGCGCAGCGUUUUCCCCACCCUUUUAAAGCUGAGGUCAAAUGUGGUCUAUAUAGUAGAUCAGAGCUGGUUGAUAUGACCCGUAAUACCUUUUAAAUAUAUAAUUUCUUCCUUUCUUUAAUCUCCUUUUUUUAUCCCCCCAUUUAUCAUCUCUUGCUGCUUCUGGUCUCAAUUACCACAAUUUAAAGGUCAAUUAUCUUUAAAAAAUUCAUGAAUAUUAAACUUAAAAAAUUUUUAUUAUAGCACAUUGUCAAUAAUUUCCUAAAAGUACAUAUGAAGGACUCUCAUGGAUUCUAAUUCACAUAUGUUUAGUUUUUCAAGAAUUUGUGUUGUAUAACAUGUUUUGCCCUCAUAAGCACCAUGUUAUCAGUUCUCCAAGUCGGUGAUACUCAGCCUGUGGAGCUCGACCCCUUAAAUUCACCAGACCCUUUCACAGAGUUCUUCUGAGACUACCAGAAAACAGAGGUCCUUACAUAAUGAUCCGUAACAGUAGCAAAAUUACAGUUAUGAAGUAGCAACAGAAAUAAUUUUAUGAUUAUUCCAUGACAUGAAGAAAGGUAUUAAUGAGUCGCGGCAUUAGGAAGGUUGAGAACCACAGCUCUAAGUGGUUCAUGUGCUUAGUAGGGCUCCUCUGAGUCCCUUCUCUGUCCGUUUGCCCGGUAUGAAGAUGAGGCUUCACUGGCUCCCUGUCUUAUGAAUGAACUGUAUGGGCGCACUGCCAAUGGCAAGCGUGAGUGACUUGGUAAUCAGAGGUUACACAUUUUGGGCAUCAGCUCUGCAAUUUCACCCUUGAAUUCCUUCAGGACUCAGGCAGAUGCCAUAUGGUCCUGGUGACUUAUUUACAGCUCCCUUGUCAGGCAGGUUCCACUGGUUACAGGCUCAGCACCAGCUUCUCUCUUGCCUGAUGUGGAGGGUAAGUCAAGAAGAACCCUUUAUUCUCUAGGAUAUGCCUUGUACCAUAGCGUCACCAACUGGCUCUGCCCUACCGUCUCCCUUUGAUAGAAUAAAAAGAUCCCUGUAUGGCACUGGACACCCUUAGUUUUAUCUUUGGCCUGGUUAAUUUCCGGAGUUGUUGUUCCAUUUUUACAUGCCAUUUCUUCCUCCUCUGUCUCUUUGAAAUGUCUACCUAGUCACACGGGGAUGCUUUCCUCUUUGAGGGUCUGCUAUUUUAGGCCUUGGCCUAACCCCAUCUAUCCUAGAAUUCUGUAUUUUAAAAUAGCCUCCAGGUUACUGUGGACUUAUGACAUUAUCAACAUUUCUUUUUUUUUUUUCAAUUUCUGCUUUACAACAUCUCCAUCUGUCUCUCUCUGAACCUUGACAUUCGGGUUUAGGGUGCAGCUUGAGAAAGGUCUUGAGGUUAGGAGCAGGACAAGCUGAGGGAAGGAGCAUCUUGAAUCACCCCCAGAGGUCCUCUGAUGAUGUGGGGGGUGAGGCGGGGGGAUACUGAAUAUGCUGUCUGGGUUAGGGUGAGUUCAGCUCUGAGGCUUGUCCUCUGGUAAGCUGUGUGUGUACCCUGGAUGUCUCAAGCUGCCAGUCCUGAGGUGUGCUUCUCUGUGUGUACCAUCAUCUACAUUCAGGGAUCCUUCUAGCACCUCUACCCUCAAAGAGCCACAGAAGGAAGCCUUUGAGCAUUCUGGCCCAACAUGCUUCAUGGAUUAGGUCAAAAUUCUGCAGGGCCAACUUAGAGAGAGGGGCUUCAGUGGCACAGGAAAAGCCAACUGGAGUCUCAGGGAUAAUUAGUCUAGAUAUCUUCUGAGAUAUCCAGACCGUGUCUGAGUGAGGACCUUGUGAAGCAAGGGCAGUGGGGUUGGGGAAGGGGUGGAGUCCCUUUCCAGGCUGAAGUUGACACCGAUCAGAAUCGGUUCCUGCUUCUGCAGCAAGUGCCUGCCCAGGGUUGUUAAGCUAAUUGUUAAAUUAGAGUGGCUGGGGAAACAAAUUGCUUCAUGAUGGGGUUUCUCUGACUGUGCCCAAGGCUGAUGUCAUCUGGCCUUGCGCCUCCUUGGUGGGGUGUAUGUCAGGGAGGGGGAGUGGGCAGGCUUGACACACUUGUGAGCGAAUCCUUAUCAGUUGUGGCAGAAGCCUGCAGCUCCACUGAGCAGCCUACAUGCCCCGUUGUGGAGAAUUCACCGUUAGCCCUCUGUACUUUAGUUUCUUGCCCCUCAUUCCUGGGCCUUACUUUGCUGGCGUUUUAAAUGAUCUUCUCCAGGGGCUAUGAACACAGAUGCCUGUUGGGGACAGACCAUAAGUGUACUGAUUAAAAUGGCCAAUAAUGGCUGGCCGGCUGGCCAGGUGGUGGUGGUGGUGGUGGUGGUGGUGGUGGUGGUGGUGGUGGUGGUGGUAGCACAUGCCUUUAAUCUUAGCACUCAGGGGGCAGAGGCAUGCACAGGCAGAUCUCUGAGUUUGAGGCCAGUCUGGUCUACAGAGUGAGUUCCAGGACACUGAGAAACCCGAUCUUGAAAACAAAACAAAAACAACAAAAUUAGAGAGAGAGAGAGAGAGAGAGAGAGAGAGAGAGAGAGAGGCGAGGCGAGGCGAGGCGAGGCGAGGCGAGGCGAGGCGAGGCGAGGAGAGGAGAGGAGAGGAGAGGAGAGGAGAGGAGAGGAGAGGAGAGGACUAAAUGAUGAGCAACCACCUUUAGGAGGGGAGGGGAGGGGUGGGGCACUCUAUGCUAAACUAAAGGGUGGUGCCCUACCUGAGAGGAACAGUGGGUUCUAGCUGGUUUCACCUGAUGCAGGACAUGUAGGAAUGUGGGGCCCAGCCAACUGUAGGUGCUUCUGGAAGGGCUGCAGAGACACUCUGUCUUUGUGAAGUGGCCAGGUUUUCAAGUAUGGACGCUAAUUCUAUUAAAGUAUAUUAUUAUGCUGAUGAAACAGUCUAUUUGUGGAUGAGUUUGACUUAUGCAUAUCCAAGCUUGCAACUUUUUAUUCUGGUCCAAACUCAGAUUUUACAGAUACAAAACAAAACAAAACAAAACAAAACCGAGAUCCAGAGAGACAGAGCUUCUGGUCCAAGGUCAGGAAGUCAGUGAAGGAGAAUUCCUUCCUCAGGCCCCUGACUAGGCAUUGUCUCUGCUGGCUGUGUUGGCCAGGGGAGCAUAGACAUGAAAUGUUCAGUGACAUAAUGUCCCCUGCCCCAUUCCUGCUUCUCUGCUUUGGUGAGUUGAUUGGAGACGGUUAGGGAUGCUGAGAAGGGCCCUGAAGAUAGAAAGAAUGCUUAGGGAGAGGUGGGAAUGGGGAAGAGCUGGCUUGAAGCUCCCAAGGAUAUAAUUUAUCUGCACGCCCCACUCCUCCCUCCUCUUCUCAUGACAAGCUUCCAUGUCGUGACACUCAGGAACACACUUUGGGAUCACCCUUGAUCGUCUCUACCCUUCCCCUGGAAUUCCUCACUUCUGAACCCCCUUUCUAGCCCUGCUGCCAUGUUCUCUGUUCACGAGUUUCAGGACACAACAAUGAGACAAUUGCAGUAGGCUUCAAGCCUGACUCCUCUGUCUGCUUUCUUCAUUGUUGUCUGAUUGAUCUUUGUAAGUACAAGUUUGGGUCUCGGCAUGUUCUCAUUAUGUGUGGUAGCAGUGCUUUAACCUAGCGUCCUAGAUUCUCAAGUGCUGUGGUGUGGCUGCCCUGUUCAUCAGCCUGGCUGCUUGGGCACCCAGCGCUACCAGGUGGAGGCUUGUGAUAUCUGGGGUAGUUUCCCUGACUUCGCUGAGCUUUUUAACUACUUUGGGAAGCUUUUACAUAGGAUUGUUUUGAGGAACAAAUGUGAUUAUCUGUGUAAAUCACUUGGCAUGGCACACACAGUCACUCAACUAAAAGAGCAAUUCAGGGACCUUGUAGCUAUGACCACCAUCAUUACCUAUCCCAUACGUCAACCUCUUGCACAUAUCUAUUGGUAAUUUCUGGUUUUCUGUUCUCUAAUAUACACAUUUGUUGUUGUUGCUGUUGUUUUGAGACUGAGUCUCAAACUAACCAACUUCAAAUUCUAGGUCUCUGCAUUUGACCUUGAACUCCUGGUCCCCUUGGUUCUCCUUUCCAAAUCCUGGGAUUACACAUAUGUAACCACCAAGCCCAACUUUGCUCUUGGGCAUACUUUGAUGCAUGGUUGUUUGUGUUCUUGCCUUCAUUUUCUUUCUCAGUUUGAGCUCUCUGAGAACGGGAUGCAGGUUUGACCUCCCCUGUGCCACCCCGAGCUCUAUAGACACUUGGGAAAUGCUUGUCAAAUGGAUGUUGCUCUUGGCGGAAUGGUACCAUAUUGAUGAUUUAUUGAUAACGCCUCUCUAUAAGAGAGAGUCUCACUGGAGCUGGAGAGAGGACUCAGAGUUUAAGAGCACUAUUCUUCUAGAGGACCUGGAUUUGAUCCCUACUUUCACAUGGUGACUUACAACUGUAAUUCCAGUUACAGAGGCUCUGAUGUCCCAUCUGCUCUGGCUUCUGUGGGUACUAAGCAUGCACACAGUACACAGACAUACAGGCAGACAAAAUGCUUAUACACAUAAAAAAUAGUUUCAUGAAUAUGGGGGACUAUUGUAUUUGGGGACGCAGUUCAGGCCUUUGGAUGCUGCAUUGUAAGAGGGAAAUGAAGUGUUUGUGGUAGAGUGGUGUUAGUUAGGGCAGAUGCAGAAGUGUGACACGGGAGGUACAGAGUGUAUGCCUGACACUUUGCGGAGGAACUGAACAUGCUCUUAAUAGCUCAAGGGCUCCUGGCAGAAGGACUGUUUGACCUGAGACUAGAACAGUCAAUAGCACCUUGACUCAAGACCAUGAUUAACCAUGAUGUAACUGCUUUAAAUGCUGGUUCAACAAAUAUUAUUUAUUUCUGUCCACUUACAAGCCCUAUUCAAAAUACUUCACGAAUACCAGAUUUGUCUGUCUCUGGUUGCCACUUGGACUAGGACUGUUGAUUGUAUGCAGAGUUUAAAUGACAUCACAGCAGAGAGCCAAGGCUAGAGUGGGGUAAAGCAGGGGCUUUAUUCCUUUCUUUGGGGCUGGGGUAGGGAAGAAUUCUCGUGUGCUUAGAAAAUGGUAAUGAUGUACUUUCAUGCUAUCCGGGUGAGGUCCACUGUUUUUGUAUGUUUCCUGCUUAUUUUGUAGCUUCAGCUGUGGAGAUGCUGGGCAUGGGAGCUGGAAGCAGGAAAUGGCCAGAAUGCUUCUCUGACCAUCCUGAAGGUUCUUUUCUUUGGGUCUGGCUGAAAGAUUAUGGUAAUGGAUGUGAUGUGCAGCUGCAGAGGAAGCAAGGAUUUUUUUUUUUUAAAUCAAGAGGAAUUCAGAGAUCAAGAAGAACAUGCAAAACCUAGGCGUGAUGGUGUGUGCUGUAAUCCUGGCACUUGGAAGGCUGAGGCAGGAUAUUCUCCAGAGUCUGAGACCAGCCUGGUUAUAGAGUAAAUUCUAGGUCAACCUAGGCUUACAAAGACUGUCUCAAAAAAAAAAAAAAGUAUUGUUGUAUACUGUUAGACAUGUUUUUUAGUUAUGCUUGCUUGUUCUUUUGAAGGAAGCUACUUUGGGACUUGUGUUCUCCCACACCCCCUUUUUUAACUGUUGGAAACUGUGCUCAUUUAUUUUUUGACCACACCUAACAUAUAGAACCCAGCGUCCAAGGCAUCUGCUGCCACCUGCUGGCAGAGAAUACCACUAGAGGGAUUUGGAAUCAAAUGGGUACAUACAUUGAAAACCAAUUCUGUCUCUGAAUGGAUCACAGAAUAUUAGAAAUGUUAGAGAUCUUUAAAAAUUGUCUGGAUUUAUCUGGAAUGAAACCAACAUGCUUUUUUUUUAAAAAAAGUUCUCUUACUCUAAUAUUUACAAUGAUAGGAAACUCAUGAUUUCCCACUAUUUUGUUACCAUUCGUUCUUUCAGUUAAAAUGCUUCUUUAUUUGUAGAUGCAUAUGUAUCUCUCUGUAUAUGUGUAUGUGUAUACACACACACACACACAUAUAAAUUUUGAAGGAAAAUACCAUUUUUAUUUAUUUGUUCUAGCAUUUGCCUCUGGAAAUUUCCAUAAUAAGUUAACUGCCUUAAAAAGGUUUACUGUGGCUUAUCUCCAUAGCCCUUCAAAUAUCUGAAGGGACCUGGUUGUACCCGCAGUCGUGUCUCGAGGUUAAACAGUGGCAGUGCUGUCAGUCAGGACAAUGUCAAGCUUUCCAAAUUCCUCAUAGCCAUUUGUUUCGUGAUGUCGUACUGUUGGUGUCCCCACCUAAUUGCAUUGCUGAGAUUGGCCCCAGCUCAGCUCUCCAGGUGUCAUCAGUGUAGUGACACUCUGGUAUUCAGGGUCUGUCCAGACUUCUGGGACACUCUCUGUACCAUGAGGUAGCACUUUUGCUAGAUUUCCAUAGUGCUAAACUUUUGAAUAAUGGAAAGCCAAUGAAUUUGUAUAAUCUCCUAUAUUUUUAACUUUCCCCCUUUGGAUAAAAGCAAGACUUGGAAAAAUUGUAAUUAUACAAUUACCAAAAUGACUACAUUCUGAAUUUUAGAUAUUACUAGCAAUGCCAUAGUUCUCUCGCAGCGAAUGGCCACCGAGGCUCUGUCUGGGAAUAGGCUUCCGGUGAUGGGGAAACCCUGUGGGCGUCACUGUGUAUUUGUAUAUGGCUUAUGCCUACCAGUCUGAGGUUACCAUAUCAUGCUUUAUAUAUCAACUUUUCUUCCUGAAACAUGCUCUGAAAAUAUUCUGUGCGGUUAUAGUUUUCUUGGUGUAAAUAUUCCACAAUUGCUUCGGCAAGUCUAACAUUGCAUCCUCGAAGCCAUCCUGCUCCUGAGAAUGUUUGUCAGCCAGCGUGCGUGCGUCUUGUGUACAGUGUUUCACUAAGGUAGAUGCAGAAGGUGAGAAUGGCUUUCAGAGUGAUGUGUGCGUCGCUUUAAAGGGUAGAUCGCCAGACACAGAGUUUGCCCCUGUUGAUUUUGUUCAGGUGUUCAGAUUUGCCGAGAGUCUUAUAUCUUUGCCCGGUCAUUUGUUAUAGUAUUGAGUCCACUAUACCAGGUUUGUAUUAUCUGUCCAUAUUAUAGGCAUAAUCUUUAUCUGAGGAAAUAACAUUUUUAAAGAAGCUAAAGAAACACUUGAGGGGGCAGUGCUGUGGUAUCUGUGGCCACCACCAGAGAGCCCUGUUCCACACAAAGUGUUUCUCGUAAUAAAAGCCCUUGGGUCUUUUGCAAUCAUUUGCAGCGACUCCUCACAACUGUACCCAUACUCAAUUAUCUACAAGAAUAUUUUGGAGGACAUUUGCCAUGGGCUUAGCAGAGAUCCAGAUACAUGUUCUGCAGUAUUCUCCUGUCCACUGUCGUCAUGGAGUGAAGUCAGAACAGCACACAUUGCCUUAGGGUGAGUGUCAUUCAAAGUAGAUCCUGGGUAACUAUUCAAUGAGCAGUGUGUUUAUAUACUUCCAUGUACUUCCGUAUAAGAAUACACUCAGUCCCAAAGAUACCAGAAGGAAAUAGCUGUCUAUUUUUGACUAUUCUUCUCACCCAUGUACUUCUUGUCUACUGUCUCCAAAGGAAGCUGGUGGCUGAGAUAUGGCUGGCUUCCUGAUACACUCAAAGUUCUUGUUUCCAAUGUCCAAAUGCUGAUACUACACCCAGGUAUAUUAGACUAUUCACACAGACACACAGGCUGGCAUUCAUAUGUUUGUGCAAUGACAUAUAGUCAUCCUCAAAUGCUCCCACCAUCUGAAAGAGGAAAUAGGGUGUUCACUCAGCCACAGGCCUUGCUGGGUUACUCUGCAUUACCUAGCAGAGGAGAGGGGAUGAUGGGCAGUACCCAGAUCACUUUUGUCCAUUGUCGGAACUUGUUACAAUGUUCCGGACUGUCUUCAAACUCAUCUGAUGGUAGAACCUGAGUCCAGCAGGGUGAUGUGCCCCAUAGUUCCCAUGCUCCCUAGGUUGUGUACCUCUACCCUUCUGGAAGUUGCCACACCUGGACUUCCACUGAAGAAAAGAUAGAGUGUUCCUUUACUUUUAGGACAACUAAGAUGGAAAACAUAACUUUGAGUAUCUAUUGAAGGAAAAAGUUACUUCAGUUUUUCUGUUACUGGAAGUUAAGUUGCCUUUUUCCUUAACUGGGCUUAGGAAGUGUUUGGUGGCGUCUUGGCCAGGUAUCCAGCUAUUUAGGAUUCCACAAGUGGUCUUAUUUGGAGUGGAGUGGUGUCUGUUCUGUUUCAAAGGAGAAAAACAAAAGAAACAAGAUUUAAAAACGGAGCAAAACCCAAACAGACAAAAUUUCUUGCUAUUUCUUUUUACUUAAUUUAAACAAAAUAAAUAAAAAGAAAGCAAAGCCAAACAACUAGUAAACAAACCUAAACCUAAAAACAGGUAAGGCUUGCAAAAUGGAAGAAGUGACACAGAUGUGAACUGUUGUCCCUUUGCACUCUGCAGUGUCCUUCCUGAGCAGUGCAUUAUGGGAAGCCCUUGGUAUGAUGGCAGGCAAUAGUGGGUGGGAUGGAAGAGAUUCAGUUUCUGCGUUGUUCACAGUCUGACAAUCUGCAGAACUAGCCAGAGUUUCUCUUGGAUAAGCUGGGCCCGUACUUGAUAAAUCACCUUAUAAGGAAAAGGCCACCCUUUCUAACCCUCUCCUCCUUUCCCCCUCCCCCCUCAAACGUAGGGAUGGCGAACAGAGUCAAGGUUUCAACUGCUUAGUUCAAGUUAAACAAACCCACCCUAGACAAACCUGCAUUCCUCUCUCUCUGAAAGAUUGUAUCUGCUUGACCUCUUGCUUUGGUCUGGGCCAUUCCACUCCUUCUUUUAUUCUUUCCCCCCUAAAAUAAACUCUUUAAUUGCAUAUUUAUAUCUUAUGUUUAUCUAUGGGAUGAGUAAUUGCCCAGGUCCAUUCUCCUCUUAGUCUGGCUGUUGUUAAGGGGUUAGACUAAGUGCGUAGUCACUGCCCAGGACUCAACAAGGCCAGGGCCUUAGACUGUGGCUGUAUUUGCACUACUUCAGGGUCUCCCUGAAGUCCCUGCACAGGGGCACUUUGAGUAGUCCAGGAACUGCUUUAUGUAAUAGGAGUAGGACCCCAUCUGUAUGGGGGGGUGGGACAGAACAGAUGGAGGCCUGGGAAAGAAGAUAAGAAGCAACAUUGUCAGCUCAAGGUUGAUACUGAAAAUUAGGUUCCAAAGCUAGAUACUUCCUGUCUCUUCCCAUAUCCCCAGCCUUGGUGCCCCAAGGAUGUUCCAAGGCAUGCUGAGUAAAGCAGGAUUGUCUAGCUGUUCCAUCCCGGUCAACCCCCUUUCACCUUGAGUUGCUGCUGCAAGGCAAACUGUUGAUGCAGCUGAGAGCUUGUGAUUAGCAGCCAGGGUAUUCUGUUCCUUCUUGUAUUCUCAGUCAUGGUUCAGGAUGUGAUUCAGGGUAAGUGGCUACAUAGUAAGUGCUUGCUGAACAAGGGAGAGCUGCUCUUCAUUCACUCUCUAUUUAUCCUUUCAAAGAUUUUUCUCAGCCAGAAAUUUGACAUAGGACAAUGAACAGGAGUCGGUUGGACAGAAGGACACAGAGAGAGCUUAAAUGUCAUAGGGUCCUGUGGACGGCCAGUGUGUGGCCCAACUAAGUUGCCCGGAGAAGGUUUCCUGUGGGUCUAGAGAAUUAGAUGAAGGCAGAGUGGGAGCAGCCUUCCAAAGCCUGUGAAGAGCAUAUGUGAUGGUCUAAAGGGAAGAGACAGCUUAGUGUGGAAAGUAUAGGCUGGCAACACCAUGGUGAUCAUCACUGUCUUAUACUCAUGUGUAGUACCUGCUGGGUGGGGUGUAUUAUUAUAUUUAUUAACUUAGUUAGGUGUUACUAACAUCCUCAUUUUGCACAAAAAUUGGAGGCACAGAAACGUGGAGUGAUUUGAUGGAUAUCACAUGACUAUGGGAGGUAGCUUUGACAUAGGAGGGUGGUUGCCUCCAGAGUCUAGGUAGUGAUAAUGCAUAAAUCAGUCAGUCUCUCUGACUCUGUCUGUAUGUCUCUCUGUCUCCUCCUUCUCUCUCUCUCUCUCUCUCUCUCUCUCUCUCUCUCUCUCUCUCUCUCUCUCUCCUCUCGUGUUUCUCUCUGUCUCCCCACCCCUCUCUGUACUCCCCCAUAGGAUCUUGGCAUGCAAUUAGAUAUGCCUAGGUUUUGGUGGUAGCAGUCAGCUUAGAGGAUGUCUAGUUGACACUGACAGAGCCUCUGACAUGUUCUAAUUAUUGAGUCUUUCUUUCCUUGCCUCAGUGGAUGGCUUGGCUUUGUCUUGUUUCUUGUGAACAGACCUGGAGCUACAAGAAUGGCUCCUAUCUCUGAGUGGGGAGAAGAAGGGGAAAUGUUUUAGGGGCCACAACUCAGGAGAGGGGCAACCUCUCCUAGAUGUAGCCACUUGCAAUGAUUGCUGGGGCUGCACAUCUUAAAGACUGGCUGGAGGAGAGUAGAUGAGGUGAUUGACAACUUUGUCCUAAGCAAUUGGCCAGGAAUAGAGAUGGAAGGAAGGAUGGAUUCCGCCUUUUCUCUACCUUCCUCAGAACUGAUGGUCCAACCCCAAGCUUCAGAGCCAAGGCAUGGUGCCAGAUCUUGCCCCCAUGCCUUAUAAAUUUCUAUCCUGUACCCAGGGCUUACAGUAACCACUUCCUCAGUAGUUGUGUGUCCCAGCAGCAAAACCAGUGUCUUUAGGGUUCUUCUCACUGCCCGUCACUGCCUGCUCUGAUGAGGCACGUGAGCCACACAUUGGUGUUCGGAAAAAUUAAUGUUUUCAAGAUGCGCUCUGCACAGUCUUAGCACGUCUGUGCCUUUUUCUUUCACCAGCUGAAAGUAAAGAAGCAUUCUUAGACAAUUACUCCCCAAGGGAGCCCAAGGACUGGCUUUGUUUACUGAGUGUUUUUAGUUACGACACAUGAAGGUCUGGGGAUUUUUGGCUUUGAGUUUUUUUUUUUUUCUUUCUUUCUGUUUUUGGUUAUAAAGAUAGGGAAGAUGAGUGGCUUCUCAACGGGGUCCUUGGAAAUUCCAAGAUUGUGAGAGGCAUGUUCUUACGUGGGUAUAGUUGUUGAGUCUGAGAUAAAAAGCAGUAAAAUAUGACAGAUGGAACUCAGGUUCAGGGCUUACCUCAGGCCAGCGUUGUACCCCAAUGUUUGUGAGUUAUCCAUCUGCAUCUGUUUGGAGCCACAUCUACCCUGAGAGCCCCUUCUCUUCCCCUGGACUCCCUGCCUUCGAGGUGUCUGCUGAGAGAUGCAUUAUGGGAGACGCAGUCAUGAUCAGUGAUCAUCUUCCGCUAGUCUGUGCCGCCUGCCACUUCUUGCAGCUUCCCACACUCCGAAUAUUCCAAGUGAAUAGGGAUGUGGGUUAGUCAAAGCCUGUAGCACAAGGCAGGGAUGCUCCACUAGAGAGCGCACGGUAUGACGCUCAGCACCUUAUUUCUGACAGAUGCCACAAAGGGACCACACUGCUCUGUCCUCAUUGCCAUCCCUGUGGCCUCAGAAUUAUUCUAAUCCUGUAUAGCAGUGGUUUCCAACCUGUGUGUCUUGACCCCUUAUCCUUUCACAGGGGUCACAUAUCAGAUAUCCUACAUAUCAGAUAUUUACAUUACAGUUUGUAACAGUAGCAAAAUUACAGUUAUAAAGUAGCAAUGAAAUAAUUUGGUUGGGGCAGUCACCACAACACGAGGAAUUGUAUUAAAGGAUUGCAGCAUUAAGGAGGUUAAGAAACUUUGCUCUAGUCACUUCUUGGGUAGGACUGGGACCUGAGAAGAAACAUUGCUCUCACUGACCAAACUCUCCUAAGAUUUGUAAGCGGCAGAUAAAUGAAUAGCCUGAGAGGAGCUGUGGCUCCUGCUGAAACUCUUUAAGUUCACAGAGUGCUCAUCUGGAUUCUUGUGGCAAGCCAAGGCUGUGGAGCAGAGCAGAGGGUGAAAGGCAAAUGUCUGACAUACCAGUGCGACUUCAUCUAACAGCCACUGAGGUGGAUAAGCCUGGUGGUGAUUCCAAGUUGGGAGCUGUCUGAAACCAUCUCACAUUCUGUAUCCUGUGAGUGGGAAGUGGAGAAGGAAACGGUUGCCUGGCCCCGAGGGAAAAAAGAUCUGGAUUUCUAUUUUUGUCAGCCUGAAAUGCUGUGAAAAUUACCAGAGGAACAAAUGGCUAUGCUACAAAGUUACACCAUGAAAGCAUAGAAAGAUCUCUGAGUGAAUCCCCUACUCCUUAGGGAUAGCUUCUCCUACCAGUUUGGUGAAUUUUCUAUCAGAGCUCUCUUGACACACACUGAAAUAUAUACUCGUGUGUGUGUGUGUGUGUGUGUGUGUGUGUGUGUGUGUUCACAAAGUAGAAUAAUACAGAUAUCGCCAUUUAUUUUGCAAACCACAUUUUUCCACACAGAAUGGAGCAUAGACAUCCUUUCAUGUUGCAACAUAUCAAACUGCUUGUCCUUGUUAAACAUUUCUAAAUAUAAUUAUCAUAGUUUAUCUUAACUAAUAAUUUAUUGUUAGUCAUUUGGAUUACUCUUCCUCUUUUUGCCUUUUUUUGGUUUACUGAUUGAAUAUAUUGCGGUGUGUAUGGGUACUGAUCUUGUAGUAGGUGAGGGUCUUAGAGGUAGAAUUACUGGGCUGAGAGCUAUGCAUGCUAGAAAUGUUAAUAAGUUCUGCCAAGGUGAUGUCUAAAAAUCUUAUAUCAAUUUACUCUCCAGCAUGACUGUGGCUUUUUGCUUGUUUUGCCAAGCUGAUGGGUAAAAUGUGGCCUGGUUAUUAUUUUUAUGUUGUGUUUUCCUAGUUACAGUUUUCCUCAGACAUUUCCAUUUCCAUGUUUGUGAAUUAUCUGUUUAUAUAUUUACUUAUUUUUAUACUUUAUAUUUUAUACUUACUAUUUUUUUCUAAUGUUUUUAGCAGUUUCUUAUAAGUUAAGAAUAUUUGUCCUUUGAAUUAUGUAUUGAUGCAAAUGUGGCAAACAUUUGUCUCUUGGAUGCUAUUUUGGCAUUGCUCAUGGUUUUAAAAGUUUACCUUCACUUUUGUCUUUGAGAACUUAAAAUGUAUGCAAAUACAACACAUUUACAUUGUUAAAAAUUCAAUAUAUUUUAAGUAUUUUUAUAUAACCCUCUUUCUAUCUGCCAAGGCACUUUUCCAAGGUAACCAUUAGCAGUAGGUCCUUGUGAAUACUCCCAGUGUUUUGUUUUGUGAAUAUAAACAAUCUAAAUCUAGAGAUCACUAAUUUCUUUUUUUAUUAGAUAUUUUCUUCAUUUACAUUUCAAAUGCUAUCCCCCAAAGCCCCCUAUACCCUCCCUCUGCCCUGCUCCCCAAUCCACCCACUCCUGCUUCCUGGCCCUGGCAUUCCUCUGUACUGGGGCAUAUGAUCUUUGCAAGACCAAGGGCCUCUCCUCCCAUUGAUGUCCGACUAGGCCACCCUCUGCCACAUAUGCAACUAGAGACACAACUCUGGGGGUUACUGGUUAGUUCAUAUUGUUGUUCUACCUAUAGGGUUGCAGACCCCUUUAGCUCCUUGGGUACUUUCUCUUGCUCCUUCAAUAGGGGCCCUGUGUUCCAUCCAAUAGAUGACUAUGAGCAUCCAUUUCUGUAUUUGCCAGGCACUGGCAUAGCCUCACAAGAGAUAGCUAUAUCAGGGUCCUGUAAGCAAAAUCUUUCUAGCAUAUGCAAUAGUGUCUGGGUUUGGUGGUUGUAUAUGGGAUGGAUCCCCGGGUAAGGCAGUCUCUGGAUGGUCCUUCCUUCCAUCUCAGCUCUGAACUUUGUCUCUGUAACUCCUUCCAUGAGUAUUUUGUUCCCCAUUCUAAGAAGGAACAAAGUAUCCACACUUUGGUCUUCCUUCUUCUCGAGUUUCAUGUGUUUUGCAAAUUGUAUCUUGGGUAUUCUAAAUUUCUGAGCUAAUAUCCACUUAACAGUGAGUGCAUAUAAUGUGUUUUCUUUUGUGAUUGGGUUACUUCACUCAGGAUGAUAACCUCCAGGUCCAUCCAUUUGCCUAAGAAUUUCAUAAAUUCAUUGUUUUUAAUAGCUGAGUAGUACUCCAUUGUGUAAAUGUACCACAUUUUCUGUAUCCAUUCUUCUGUUGAGGGACAUCUGGGUUCUUUCCAGCUUCUGGCUAUUAUAAAUAAGGCUGCUAUGAACAUAGUGGAGCAUGUGUCCUUAUUACCAGUUGGAACAUCUUCUGGGUAUAUGCCCAGGAGAGGUAUUGCUGGAUCUUCCGGUAGUAUUAUGUCCAAUUUUCUGAGGAACCAACAGACUGAUUUCCAGAACGGUUGUACCAGCUUGCAAUUCCACCAGCAAUGGAGGAGUGUUCCUCUUUCUCCACAUCCUCGCCAGCAUCUGCUGUCACCUGAAUUUUUGAUCUUAGCCAUUUUGACUGGUGUGAGGUGGAAUCUCAGGGUUGUUUUGAUUUGCAUUUCCCUGAUGAUUAAGGAUGUUGAACAUUUUUUUCAGGUGCUUCUCAGCCAUUCGGUAUUCCUCAGGUAAGAAUUUUUGGUUUAGCUCUAUACCCCAUUUUUUAAUAGGGUUAUUUGAUUUUCUGGAGUCCAGCUUCUUGAGUUCUUUAUAUAUAUAUAUUGGAUAUUAGUCCCCUAUCUGAUUUAGGAUUGGUAAAGAUCCUUUCCCAAUCUAUUGGUGGCCUUUUGGUCUUAUUGAUAGUGUCUUUUGCCUUACAGAAGCUUUGCAAUUUUAUGAGGUCCCAUUUGUAGACUCUCGAUCUUACAGCACAAGCCAUUGCUGUUCUGUUAGGAAUUUUCCCCCUGUGCCCAUAUCUUCGAGGCUUUUCCCCACUUUCUCCUCUAUAAGUUUCAGUGUCUCUGGUUUUAUGUGGAGUUCCUUGAUCCACUUAGACUUGAGCUUAGUACAAGGAUAAGAAUGGAUCAAUUCGAAUUCUUCUACAUGAUAACCACCAGUUGUGCCAGCACCAUUUGUUGAAAAUGCUGUCUUUUUUCCACUGGAUGGUUUUAGCUCCCUUGUCAAAGAUCAAAAGACCAUAGGUGUGUGGGUUCAUCUCUGGGUCUUCAAUUCUAUUCCAUUGGUCUAGUUGUCUGUCGCUGUACCAGUACCAUGCAGUUUUUACCACAAUUGCCCUAUAGUACAGCUUUAGGUCAGGCAUGGUGAUUCCACCAGAGCUGCUUUUAUCCUUGAGAAGAGUUUUUGCUACCCUAGGUUUUUUGUUAUUCCAGAUGAAUUUGCAAUUGGCCUUUUUAAUUCGGUGAAGAAUUGAGUUGGAAUUUUGAUGGGGAUUGCAUUGAAUCUGUAGAUUGCUUUCGGCAAGAUAGUCAUUUUUACUAUAUUGAUCCUGCCAAUCCAUGAGCAUGGGAGAUCUUUCCAUCUUCUGAGAUCUUCUUUGAUUUUUUUCUUCAGAGGCUUGAAGUUCUUAUCACACAGGAGAUCACUAAUUUCUUUUCAAAAGCCGUUUAAUAUUAACUCUAAGCUGAACAAGCUAAAACCUGAAACCAAAAAAUGAUGCUCCUAAUGUUUUGGAUUUUGGAAUAUUUUGAAGUUUUAAAUUAGUGAUGAUCACCUAGUAAAUUACAUGCAAAUACUAUAAAACCUAAAAAACUAAAACCAGGAACACUUCUGGUCCCAACAAUCUUGGCUAAAGUAUUCCUGCAUACUGUUCUACAUUUUGUAUCUUAAGUGUUUUACACACGGGAGUGCUGGAGAUUAAAUCUAAGGCCUCACGCAUGUAAGGCAGCUUCCGUACCUCUGAGCUGCAGCUCCUAUCCUUCAGCGAUUCAUCCUGAGGUCCUUGGCAUGCUAACUCACAGAAAGGCUCCUUCCUAAUUCUUUCCCUAGAGCCUCAUGCUCUCCCAUCAUGUGGUGUGACCCUGUCGAGUUGGCUUUGGAUUUUUGUGCUUUGGUAUAUCCUCAAGGAAUAUUGAAAACUGUGCACUCUUCCACACAUUUAACUUUUUAUUUUAGCAUAAGUUUAAAAAGUUGCAAGUAAUAUAUUUUCUAGCCCGUUGAAUAUUGUAUAUAGGCUUUAAAUAUAUAUUCUUCAAAAACUCAGAGCUGUAGAUUUACAUGAAUUGGAAAACACAAGUCUCAUGAAAGCAAGCAGCCAAAUCAGAUGUAUUCACUUCCUGUCAGAGACCGUCUGCCUUCUUUUUAAAAUUCAAGCAAGCAUGUUAAUUAGACACCCCUCUGUGACAACCCUGUCUUCAGGAUUCUAAUUCUCAGAUCAGUAGACAGGUAGAUAAAUAGACUAGCCGUGCUCUUUGUCUCCUCAACGAAACGAGGCACAGUGUUUUGCAAGGCCUUUUCAUGAUCUUCCCUCAUCUGUGACUGUGCCUGUGCUUCAUGAAUUCACCACCCCCUGUCUGACUUAUCCAUGACACUAUUACAAAUCCCCCCAACUGUCGUGGUUUAGACACUUUAUCCUUGUGAGUAUCAUGGCUGACCAGGCAGCUCUGAUGUAGAUAGAUUCCUUAGGUUCUACUGCGGAGAUGGGAGGGCAGGAUCCUCCAAAGAGGCAUGCUGGAUGAUGUAGUGAGAAUUCUGGUUUCUUUAAAAAAAGUAAGUAAGUAAGAAAGAAAGAAAGAAAGGAAGGAAGGAAGGAAGGAAGGAAGGAAGGAAGAAAGAAAGAAAGAAAGAAAGAAAGAAAGAAAGAAAGAAAGAAAGAAAGAAAGAAAGAAAGAAAGAAACAAACUCAGAAACAGGGAUGUGCUUUCUUUUGAGUCCCAGGUGUGGGAUACGGGGCUGCUUCACAUUGUCCACGGCAGCUGACUGUGAUUUGCCUUGUGCUCCAGGAGAGGCAUGAUUUUGUCAGCUGCAGAUAGUUUCUGUGAUUGUGUGAUGUUUGUAAUUCUGGGGGCUCUUCAGAGGGUGUAUAAAUGCUACAUUCUGGGGGACAGGGUGUGUUGUUGGUUGGUUUUGGUUUGUUAAGUUGUCUGGUACAAAGAAGAAACAAGAAGAAGAAAUUAAAUACCAUGACAGUGGAGACCAAACUUGCCCCAGGGAACUCCAUGAUCCUAAUCAGCAGGAAGUAGUCUAACAAUACUGUUUGCCCCCUUUCCCUUCUGUCCUUUCCCCCUUCUGUCUAGUGUUAGGGUGUUGAAAGGGUGGAAGAAAAGGGGUAGAGAAGGGUGGAAGAAAGAAGAACCCACAAAGUAGCCAAAGUCUGGCUACAGAAUGUUGUUUGUAGAUGGGAGCUAGGACUCUAGGGAUAACUAUGUAGCAUGGUUAGGACUCUGGGGAGUUACUAAGUAGCAUGGUUCCCUCUGUGUGGCUUACACUUCUCAUACCAUGGUGGGAGACUCCAAGAGCAGUUUUAUUUAUUCUUAACUCUGUUAUUUUUAAAUGUCUUUUAAAAAGUUAGGCAAUAUAGUUCAAUGGUAAAAGUUCAAAAAGCGUAGAAAGAUACCCUCGAUUCCCAUGUGACUUGUGUGCUCAUCCAGAGAGUAGGAAAAAAGAAAAGCGUGUAUCUCAUGUUUGGAUACCAAAGUCUAUUAAUGGUUUCCUUCUUGAGGGUGUUUGACUAGGCUUUAUUUGUGCAUGACACGAGGCUAGGAUUGAUAGACCUUCAGGGACACCAGGGACACCGAAGACCUCUGUGGUGCAAGGGCUGACUACAUGGCUAAUUAUUUUUAAGAAAUGUCAACAUAAUUCAUCUGCUGCAAACUAUUAUUAUUAUUUUGAAACAGUCUCAUUCUGUAAUCCAGGCUGGCCUUGAACUUGUGUUCCUCCUGCUUCAGCUUCCUCAAUAAGGACUUAUAAGUGAGAGUUACACCUCUGUCUGAUUCUCUUGAUUUGGAAAUAAGAACUAAGAGGAUGGUGAGAUGGCUCAGUGGAUAUAGGUGCUUACCUCCAAGACUGACUUCCUAAAAACUGAUCACAGUAUAGAACUGAUUCCUUCAAGUUGUCCUCUCAGACAGACAGACAGACACACACACACAUGCACCCACACCCAUAUGCACACACACGUAUAAAGUUAAAUUUUAAAGAGCAAGGAAAAUAAAGAAAAUAAGAUCCAAGGAAUUGCUAAUUCAAGUUGACUAGUAUGUAGCUGUCAUAUUACCUUGGAUGGGCAUGUAUAAAUACUAGGGAUUUAUCAGGUUUAAUAAUGAGUUGUUAUACAUUUUUUUGAAAGGAGAAAAUUCCCAAGAGGAUUUUUUAACUGUUAGUUUUAGAUCUAUGCUACCCAACAUUUAGCAUUAACUUGGGGGUGUAGAGAGCCCUUUUUAAUUCCUUUGUGCUUUAUGCUCACCAUUAUCAACCCUGGUGUUAGUGGUGUGGUGUUUCCUUUUUGCUGGACUGAAUUGGUAGGGUAGGACUUCACAAAGAUUUGGAGGAGAUGGAGAAGGGUCUGGGGUGAGAGAAGGGAGAGGCCCCUUGCAGGGACCAUGUGAGCUUGUUUUUGUGGCAGUGACUGAUAACCUCAUCUUCCUGAUUCUUUGAUGCUGAGCAUGUGACACAGAGAGUCAGAAAGAAGCAGUAAGGGGAAGCAAAUCCUCUGAGAGGCAAGCAGCCCCUUGGUUUGAGUCAAGAGUCACUGCGGGUGAAGAGACUGCUCUCAGUGGACUGAAGUGGAGGAUCCAUGCUGUGAGGGAAGCUCAGCUCACAGUGACUUCUGGGUAGACAUGGCCCUGUGAGGUUUAAACUGUUUUCCCUGGCUUCUUAGCCGUCCUUUUACAUUUGAGGUGCUUUGGGAAAGACUGUCGGCAAGGUGGUCAUGUGAGUUUGGAGGGUUGGGAGACUUUGGUAAAGAGCUCUGUGAAGAGACCUGAUCCUUCAUUGCAGGUUGACCCUGAUGUCUGGACUUCCGCUUGUCCUCUACUGCCCUGUCUUCUACACCCUUCCCCAAAGUGUAACUGUUUCUUAAGGGCCUAGUAUUGAUCUCUUAUUACAAACACUGAAGAGGGGACCAGUUUAUCAUACCUCUGUACAUGGGACCUAGUUCAGAGGGAACCGGAUCCAGAAUGGAAGAGUUUUAUAAGGCUGAGAAACAGUUCUGUUGGUUAGCUGGGCUGUUGGGGUGGUGCCCUGAAAGUGGAGGUUCAGUGCAGUGUGGGGCUUCUAGUGGCUUGCUGGGGGAAGCAGGAAUCCUCAGAGGAGGACAGGGAAGGGUGUGUGUGUGUGUGGGGGGGGCGAUUCAACUUGACAGUGUGGUUUUAAGCCAGUGCCGUAAGAGGUUUUGUGAUAUCUUUCUAGGUUAGGGAAUGGAGAUAAGAUCUCCCUGAGGUCAGAGGUAAGCAACAGGAAAGCUACAUAAAAGCAGGGUCGAUGCAGGCUAAUCAACCCCUGUCUUUCUCCCAUGCUGCCUGGCAGAUAUUUGAGGUGACAUUUAAAGCCAUUGUACAGAUCUGCAGUGGACCUGUGGCAGAAGGAAUGUUUUCUGAAGCCCGAGGAGAGCUGAGGAUCAAUUGUGUGUCUAAGGGCCGUUUUGUCUAGCUCUUCCUGUGUGGUCCCCUGCUAGAUCUCUCUUUACCUUGUAGGAGAGCCUUCCAGGAGAGAGAGCUCAGGGUUCCCCUCUCCCGGACUCCUAGGGUGUGUGGGCAGGCAGGGUACAUUGUAGAGUUCAACCAAAAUAUGGAAAUGGAGUCAGUGCUGAAGGUAAGAGAGGAGAGCUGUGACAGAGCAGACAGGUCACCAUCAGAGAAUCACCCAGGGGAGCUGGUUAAAGAUGCAGGCCUCUGGGAGCCGGGCAUCUGCACGAACUGCCACCCCUCCCUGGUGAAUCUGCUGCCCAUUAAUUUGAGAACUCUGAGGUGAGAAUGGGUGAGGUUAGCUGGAGAGGCCUCUUGGGAGCGGUGGACUUGAAUUUCAGUCUGGGUGAUACCGUCUUUCAGAUAUUGACUUCAUGUGAGGACCCAAGGAGCGUGUUCACCUGAGGACACUCGGCUCUCACAGGAGAGGCUGGCAAGUGUCCAUGCCAGUCCCUGGAUGGUGUUUCUGAGAUGUUGCUUCUGACACUUGGGCAGUAAUUGCUGAGGGGACAGAAGUGCUGAGGAUGGUAUCUGCCAGAGCGUUUGGUUCACGUUGGAGCUGAAGCGCAGCUUGCAGGGCAAAAUGGUAACCUGGCUGAGCCUACUUCCCGGAGAGGGGUAGGAGGAGAACACUGUGUCUGUUGAAUAGUCUUCAUUCUGGUCCACAGAUAGCAGCAGCUGUGCCGUCUCAUGUGUGGCCUUCACUUGCCAGUUAGCUGCACGUAUCUGAGGAGCGUGGAUAGUGCCGCGGAGAGAUCAGAGGUCCCAGUUGUCCUGGGAGGAUCUUUUCGGAAUGAUGGUUUGAAAGCUUCUGAUGUCCUUCCUAUCCUAAAGGAGAAAGUGGCCUUUGUGUCUGGGGGGCGUGACAAGCGAGGUGGACCCAUCCUGACCUUCCCUGCCCGAAGCAAUCAUGACAGAAUAAGACAGGAAGACCUACGGAAACUUGUGACGUAUUUGGCCAGCGUGCCAAGUGAGGACGUUUGCAAACGUGGCUUCACCGUCAUCAUCGACAUGCGGGGCUCCAAGUGGGAUCUCAUCAAGCCCCUCCUCAAGACGCUGCAGGAAGCCUUCCCCGCCGAGAUCCAUGUGGCCCUCAUCAUCAAGCCUGACAACUUCUGGCAGAAGCAGAAGACCAACUUUGGCAGCUCCAAAUUCAUCUUUGAGACAAGCAUGGUGUCUGUGGAGGGCCUCACGAAGCUGGUGGACCCCUCCCAGCUGACAGAGGAGUUUGACGGCUCCCUGGAUUACAACCAUGAGGAGUGGAUUGAGUUGCGCCUCUCCCUGGAGGAGUUCUUCAACAGUGCGGUCCACCUGCUCUCACGCCUUGAGGACCUGCAGGAGAUGCUGGCCCGGAAGGAGUUCCCUGUGGAUGUGGAGGGCUCUCGGAGGCUUAUCGACGAGCACACGCAACUUAAGAAAAAGGUGCUGAAGGCCCCCGUGGAAGAGCUGGACCGGGAGGGGCAGCGUCUACUGCAGUGCAUCCGCUGCAGCGAUGGCUUCUCAGGGCGCAACUGCAUCCCAGGAAGUGCCGACUUCCAGAGCCUUGUACCCAAGAUCACCAGCCUCCUGGACAAGCUGCAUUCCACCCGACAACACCUGCACCAAAUGUGGCACGUGCGAAAGCUCAAGCUGGAUCAGUGCUUCCAGCUGCGGCUCUUCGAGCAGGAUGCUGAGAAGAUGUUCGACUGGAUAAGCCACAACAAGGAGUUAUUUCUUCAGAGCCACACAGAGAUCGGAGUCAGCUACCAGCAUGCACUAGACCUCCAGACACAGCACAAUCACUUUGCCAUGAACUCCAUGAAUGCCUAUGUCAACAUCAACCGCAUCAUGUCUGUCGCUUCCCGCCUCUCAGAGGCCGGCCAUUAUGCCUCCCAGCAAAUCAAGCAGAUCUCCACGCAGCUAGACCAGGAGUGGAAGAGCUUUGCCGCUGCCCUGGAUGAACGCAGUACAAUCCUGGCCAUGUCUGCUGUGUUCCACCAGAAGGCAGAGCAGUUCCUGUCAGGCGUGGAUGCCUGGUGUAAGAUGUGCAGCGAAGGCGGCCUUCCUUCUGAGAUGCAGGACCUGGAGCUGGCAAUCCACCAUCACCAGUCCUUAUAUGAGCAGGUGACCCAGGCCUACACAGAGGUCAGCCAGGAUGGCAAAGCACUACUGGAUGUCCUGCAGCGUCCCCUGAGUCCUGGGAACUCUGAGUCCCUCACAGCCACAGCCAACUACUCCAAGGCGGUCCACCAGGUGCUGGAUGUGGUCCACGAGGUGCUGCACCAUCAGCGACGGCUCGAGAGCAUCUGGCAGCACCGCAAGGUGCGGCUUCACCAGCGGCUGCAGCUGUGUGUCUUCCAGCAGGAUGUGCAGCAGGUGCUGGACUGGAUUGAAAACCAUGGCGAGGCCUUUCUCAGCAAACACACUGGGGUUGGCAAGUCCUUGCAUCGAGCACGUGCACUACAGAAGAGGCAUGAUGACUUUGAAGAAGUGGCACAGAAUACAUACACCAAUGCGGACAAGCUCCUAGAAGCAGCGGAGCAGCUGGCUCAGACUGGGGAAUGUGACCCGGAGGAGAUCUACAAGGCAGCCCGGCACCUGGAGGUGCGCAUCCAAGACUUUGUGCGCAGAGUGGAGCAGCGGAAGCUGCUUCUGGACAUGUCGGUCUCUUUCCACACGCACACCAAAGAGCUGUGGACAUGGAUGGAGGACCUUCAGAAGGAGGUGCUGGAGGAUGUCUGUGCAGACUCUGUGGAUGCGGUCCAGGAGCUGAUCAAGCAGUUCCAGCAGCAGCAGACCGCCACCCUGGAUGCCACUCUCAAUGUCAUCAAGGAAGGCGAAGACCUUAUCCAGCAGCUCAGGUCAGCGCCUCCCUCCCUGGGGGAGCCCACCGAGGCCAGGGACUCAGCGAUGUCCAACAACAAGACACCCCACAGUAGCUCUAUCAGCCAUAUUGAGUCUGUCCUCCAGCAGCUGGACGAUGCUCAGGUACAGAUGGAAGAGCUGUUUCACGAGCGGAAGAUCAAGCUGGACAUCUUCCUACAGCUGCGCAUCUUUGAACAGUACACCAUUGAGGUCACUGCAGAGCUGGAUGCCUGGAACGAGGACUUGCUCCGGCAGAUGAAUGAUUUCAACACAGAGGAUCUGACCCUGGCUGAGCAGCGGCUACAGCGCCACACAGAACGGAAGCUUGCCAUGAACAACAUGACGUUCGAGGUCAUCCAGCAGGGCCAGGACCUGCACCAGUACAUCAUGGAAGUGCAAGCGUCAGGAAUCGAGUUAAUCUGUGAGAAGGACCUUGACCUGGCAGCUCAGGUGCAGGAGCUGCUGGAGUUUCUCCAUGAGAAGCAGCACGAGCUGGAGCUCAAUGCGGAGCAGACGCACAAGCGGCUAGAGCAGUGUCUCCAGCUGAGGCACCUCCAGGCUGAGGUCAAACAGGUUCUGGGAUGGAUCCGCAAUGGAGAGUCGAUGCUCAACGCCAGCCUGGUCAACGCCAGCUCUUUGUCGGAGGCAGAGCAGCUGCAGCGGGAGCAUGAACAGUUCCAGCUAGCCAUCGAGUCCCUCUUUCAUGCCACUUCCUUGCAGAAGACGCACCAGAGCGCCCUGCAGGUACAGCAGAAGGCAGAGGCACUGCUCCAGGCCGGCCACUACGACGCAGACGCCAUCCGGGAAUGUGCUGAGAAGGUGGCCCUCCACUGGCAACAGCUCAUGCUAAAGAUGGAGGACCGGCUGAAGCUUGUCAACGCCUCUGUGGCCUUUUACAAGACCUCUGAGCAGGUGUGCAGUGUUCUGGAGAGCUUGGAGCAGGAGUACCGGAGAGACGAGGACUGGUGUGGUGGGAGAGACAAGCUGGGGCCGGCGGCAGAGAUGGACCACGUUAUUCCACUCCUCAGCAAGCACCUGGAGCAGAAGGAGGCCUUCCUGAAGGCCUGCACGCUGGCAAGGCGGAACGCCGAGGUGUUCCUCAAAUACAUCCACAGGAACAAUGUGAGCAUGCCUAGUGUUGCCAGCCACACCCGGGGGCCUGAACAGCAAGUAAAAGCCAUCUUGAGCGAGCUCUUGCAGAGGGAGAAUCGAGUCCUGCACUUCUGGACCUUGAAGAAGCGGCGGUUAGACCAGUGUCAGCAAUAUGUGGUGUUUGAGCGCAGUGCUAAGCAGGCACUGGACUGGAUCCAAGAAACAGGAGAAUAUUACCUCUCAACACAUACCUCCACCGGAGAGACCACGGAGGAGACUCAGGAGCUGCUGAAAGAGUAUGGAGAAUUCAGGGUGCCUGCCAAGCAAACGAAGGAGAAGGUGAAACUUCUGAUCCAGCUAGCAGACAGCUUUGUGGAAAAGGGCCACAUCCACGCCACAGAGAUACGGAAAUGGGUGACCACGGUGGACAAGCACUACCGCGAUUUCUCCCUGAGGAUGGGGAAGUACCGGUACUCGCUGGAGAAGGCGCUGGGGGUCAACACGGAGGAUAACAAGGACCUAGAGCUGGACAUCAUCCCAGCAAGCCUUUCGGAUCGGGAGGUCAAGCUCCGGGACGCUAACCAUGAGAUCAAUGAAGAGAAACGGAAGUCAGCUCGAAAGAAAGAGUUCAUUAUGGCUGAACUGCUCCAAACUGAGAAGGCUUAUGUAAGGGACUUGCACGAGUGCUUGGAGACCUACCUGUGGGAGAUGACUAGUGGUGUGGAAGAGAUACCCCCCGGCAUCCUCAAUAAGGAACAUAUCAUCUUCGGCAACAUCCAGGAGAUCUAUGACUUCCAUAACAACAUCUUCCUCAAAGAGCUGGAGAAGUACGAGCAGCUGCCUGAGGAUGUGGGACACUGCUUUGUUACCUGGGCAGACAAAUUUCAGAUGUAUGUCACCUACUGUAAAAACAAGCCUGAUUCCAACCAGCUGAUCCUGGAGCAUGCGGGCACCUUCUUUGAUGAGAUCCAGCAGCGGCAUGGCCUGGCCAACUCCAUCUCCUCCUACCUAAUUAAGCCUGUCCAGAGGGUUACCAAGUACCAGCUGCUCCUGAAGGAACUUCUAACUUGCUGUGAAGAAGGGAAAGGAGAGCUGAAGGAUGGCCUGGAGGUGAUGCUCAGUGUCCCCAAGAAAGCCAACGAUGCCAUGCAUGUCAGCAUGCUGGAAGGGUUCGAUGAAAACUUGGAUGUACAGGGGGAGUUGAUUCUCCAGGAUGCCUUUCAAGUGUGGGACCCAAAGUCGCUGAUCCGGAAGGGGCGGGAGCGCCAUCUGUUCCUCUUUGAGAUCUCCUUGGUGUUUAGCAAAGAGAUCAAAGACUCUUCAGGACACACGAAAUAUGUUUACAAGAACAAGCUACUGACCUCAGAGCUGGGUGUGACCGAGCAUGUAGAAGGUGACCCCUGCAAAUUCGCCUUGUGGUCUGGGCGCACCCCAUCCUCAGACAAUAAAACAGUGCUCAAAGCUUCCAACAUCGAAACCAAGCAGGAAUGGAUCAAGAACAUUCGAGAAGUGAUUCAGGAGAGGAUCAUUCAUCUUAAAGGCGCUUUAAAGGAGCCAAUUCAGCUCCCCAAAACACCAGCCAAACUGAGGAACAAUAGUAAGAGGGAUGGGGUAGAGGAUGGUGACAGCCAAGGGGAUGGGAGCAGCCAGCCAGAUACCAUAUCCAUUGCCUCCAGGACCUCUCAGAACACAGUGGAAAGUGACAAGCUCUCAGGUGGAUGUGAGCUGACCGUGGUCCUCCAGGACUUCAGCGCAGGCCACAGCAGCGAGCUGAGCAUCCAGGUGGGCCAGACGGUGGAGCUGCUGGAACGACCGAGUGAGAGGCCUGGCUGGUGUCUGGUCCGCACCACAGAGCGGAGCCCCCCACAGGAAGGCCUGGUACCCAGCAGCGCCCUGUGCAUCUCACACUCUCGCAGCAGCGUGGAAAUGGACUGCUUCUUCCCCUUGAAAGAUUCAUACUCUCAUUCCUCCAGUGAGAAUGGAGGCAAAUCCGAGUCCGUGGCCCACCUGCAGUCUCAGCCCUCCCUGAACUCCAUCCACAGUUCCCCUGGUCCCAAGCGCUCCACCAACACCCUCAAAAAGUGGCUGACCAGCCCCGUGCGCCGCCUCAACAGCGGAAAAGCCGACGGGAACAUCAAAAAGCAGAAGAAAGUCCGGGAUGGGCGGAAGAGCUUCGAUCUGGGAUCGCCCAAGCCUGGGGAUGAGACGACACCUCAGGGAGACAGCGCUGACGAGAAGAGCAAGAAGGGUUGGGGCGAAGACGAGCCAGAUGAAGAGUCACACACACCCCUCCCUCCGCCCAUGAAGAUCUUUGACAACGACCCCACACAGGAUGAGAUGUCGUCUUUGCUAGCAGCCCGGCAGGCUCCCCCUGACGUGCCUACUGCUGCAGACCUUGUCAGUGCAAUAGAAAAGUUGGUCAAAAAUAAGCUGACUCUGGAAGGAGGCUCUUACCGGGGGAGCUUGAAGGACCCUACAGGCUGCCUGAAUGAGGGGAUGACCCCUCCCACACCUCCUAGAAACCUGGAAGAAGAACAGAAAGCCAAGGCGCUGAGAGGCAGGAUGUUUGUCCUGAAUGAGCUGGUACAGACAGAGAAGGACUACGUCAAGGACCUGGGGAUUGUGGUGGAGGGCUUCAUGAAGAGAAUAGAAGAGAAGGGGGUCCCUGAGGACAUGCGAGGGAAGGAAAAGAUCGUGUUUGGAAAUAUCCACCAGAUUUACGACUGGCAUAAAGAUUUUUUCCUGGCUGAACUGGAAAAAUGUAUCCAAGAGCAAGACAGAUUGGCCCAGCUCUUCAUUAAACACGAGCGGAAGCUGCACAUCUACGUGUGGUACUGCCAGAACAAGCCGCGUUCCGAGUACAUCGUGGCUGAGUACGAUGCCUAUUUUGAGGAGGUUAAACAAGAGAUCAAUCAAAGGCUGACCCUUAGUGACUUCCUGAUCAAGCCCAUUCAGAGAAUAACAAAGUACCAGCUGCUACUCAAGGACUUCCUGCGAUACAGCGAGAAGGCUGGUUUGGAGUGUUCCGAUAUUGAGAAAGCAGUGGAGUUAAUGUGCCUUGUCCCCAAGCGCUGUAAUGACAUGAUGAAUCUGGGACGCCUGCAGGGCUUCGAGGGCACCCUGACCGCCCAGGGCAAGCUACUGCAGCAGGACACAUUCUAUGUGAUCGAGCUGGAUGCCGGCAUGCAGUCCCGGACCAAGGAGAGGCGUGUGUUUCUCUUUGAGCAGAUUGUCAUCUUCAGUGAACUGCUCCGAAAGGGGUCCCUCACCCCAGGCUACAUGUUCAAAAGAAGCAUCAAGAUGAAUUACUUGGUCCUGGAAGACAAUGUGGAUGGUGACCCCUGCAAAUUUGCACUCAUGAACAGGGAGACUUCAGAAAGGGUCAUUCUACAGGCUGCCAACUCAGACAUCCAGCAGGCCUGGGUGCAGGACAUCAACCAAGUCCUAGAAACACAGAGGGACUUCUUAAAUGCACUACAGUCACCCAUUGAGUAUCAGCGGAAGGAGAGAAGCACAGCUGUGAUCCGGUCCCAGCCCCCGAGGGUUCCACAAGCCAGCCCCAGGCCCUACUCUUCUGGCCCGGUGGGCUCAGAGAAGCCCCCCAAGGGCUCCAGCUAUAACCCGCCUCUGCCACCCCUGAAGAUAUCUACCUCUAAUGGCAGUCCAGGGUUCGACUACCAUCAGCCUGGGGACAAGUUUGACGCUAGCAAGCAGAACGACCUGGGAGGCUGCAAUGGGACAUCAACCAUGACUGUAAUCAAAGAUUACUAUGCACUGAAGGAGAAUGAAAUCUGCGUGAGCCAAGGUGAGGUGGUACAGGUCCUCGCCGUCAACCAGCAGAACAUGUGUCUGGUGUACCAGCCUGCCAGCGACCAUUCCCCGGCAGCAGAGGGCUGGGUCCCAGGCAGCAUCCUGGCGCCCCUCGCCAAAGCCACAGCAGCGGCCGAAAGUAGUGACGGGAGCAUCAAGAAGUCAUGCUCUUGGCACACUCUACGCAUGAGAAAGCGGGCAGACGUGGAGAACUCGGGUAAAAAUGAAGCCACAGGGCCUCGUAAACCCAAGGAUAUUCUGGGCAACAAAGUCUCUGUUAAAAAACAAUGUGAUCAUGAUCCGCCUUCAGAAAUGCUUUGCCUUGGGACAAUGAAAAUCACUCAUUGGAGCUGGAGAGAUGGCUCAGAGGUUAAGAGCACUGUCUGCUCUUCCAGAGGUCCUGAGUUUAAUUCCCAGCAACCUUAUAGUGGCUCACAACCAUCUAUAAUGAGAUCUGGUGCCCUCUUCUGGCUGCAGGCCAUAAUCUAAAAAAAAUAAAAUAAAAAAGAGAGAGAGAAAGAAAGAAAAUCACGCAUUGAUUAUCUCUUGGGCACUUUGCCUUCCCAAGCAAAGAGCAACCAAAACCUAUUCAAGAUCCUUUUGGGGAAAAGAAAUUGGGAAGCCCAGCCUUGCCAGAGUGGACAGUUUAAUUCCGGCACUCACGCUUCAUCCGGUCACUUCCAUUGCUCUUCCCGGUGUGAUAAACAGGUGUCCACGGUCCCUUGAGAGAGCAUGCUGCUGCCAUGACGCCCCACGUCCCACCUGAAAAGUUCCUGGUCGUUUCUCUGCCUGGUUUCCCAUAUCCAUGCUUCUCUGAUAUGCCCCGCUAGCCAGACUACUGUGUUCUAACUAUGUUCUUUUUCUCCCCCCUUCUACAUGCUGCCAACCAAGGAGACGAACAGUUCCGAGGAGUCAGAGUGUGAUGAUCUUGACCCUAAUACUAGUAUGGAGAUCUUGAAUCCAAAUUUCAUCCAGGAAGUGGCUCCAGAAUUCCUCGUGCCCUUAGUAGAUGUGACCUGUUUGCUUGGAGACACAGUGCUACUGCAGUGUAAAGCCUGUGGGCGGCCAAAGCCCAGCAUCACCUGGAAGGGUCCGGAUCAGAACAUCCUAGACACUGACAACAGUUCAGCAACAUACACCAUCUCCUCCUGUGAUUCUGGGGAAAGCACCCUCAAGAUCUGCAACCUGAUGCCCCAGGAUAGUGGGAUUUAUACCUGCAUAGCAGCAAACGACCACGGGACUGCAUCCACAUCUGCUACAGUUAAGGUGCAAGGUGUCCCCGCAGCCCCCAACCGCCCAAUCGCACAGGAGAGGAGCUGCACCUCCGUCAUCCUCCGCUGGCUGCCCCCAGCCAGCACCGGAAACUGCACUAUUUCGGGGUACACAGUGGAGUAUCGCGAGGAAGGUUCCCAGGUCUGGCAGCAAUCCGUAGCUUCGACCUUGGACACUUACCUGGUCAUUGAAGACCUUAGUCCUGGGUGCCCUUAUCAGUUCAGGGUCAGUGCCAGCAACCCCUGGGGAAUCAGCCUUCCCAGUGAGCCCUCGGAGUUUGUGCGCCUUCCAGAGUACGAUGCAGCCGCCGACGGUGCCACCAUUUCUUGGAAGGAAAAUUUUGAUUCUGCUUACACUGAACUGAACGAGAUUGGCAGAGGCCGUUUCUCUAUUGUAAAGAAAUGCAUUCACAAAGCUACCCGCAAAGAUGUUGCUGUGAAAUUUGUGAGCAAAAAAAUGAAGAAGAAGGAGCAGGCUGCUCACGAGGCCGCCCUGCUCCAGCACCUGCAGCACCCUCAGUAUGUCACGCUCCAUGACACCUACGAGUCCCCCACAUCCUACAUCCUGAUUUUGGAACUGAUGGAUGACGGCCGACUCUUGGACUACCUUAUGAAUCAUGAUGAGCUGAUGGAAGAAAAGGUAGCUUUCUACAUUCGAGACAUCAUGGAAGCUCUGCAGUACCUGCACAACUGUAGGGUCGCACAUUUGGACAUAAAGCCCGAAAACCUGCUCAUUGACCUCCGGAUCCCAGUGCCUCGAGUGAAGCUCAUCGACUUGGAAGACGCUGUCCAGAUCUCAGGCCACUUCCAUAUCCACCAUCUGCUGGGGAACCCUGAGUUCGCUGCCCCCGAAGUGAUCCAAGGCAUCCCUGUCUCCCUGGGCACAGACAUCUGGAGCAUCGGGGUUCUGACAUAUGUCAUGCUUAGUGGGGUCUCCCCCUUCUUAGAUGAGAGCAAAGAGGAAACCUGUAUCAACGUGUGCAGGGUGGACUUUAGCUUCCCCCACGAGUACUUCUGCGGUGUGAGCAAUGCUGCCAGGGAUUUCAUCAACGUAAUCUUACAGGAAGACUUCCGGAGGCGGCCCACAGCAGCCACGUGCCUGCAGCAUCCCUGGCUACAGCCCCACAACGGCAGCUACUCCAAGAUCCCCUUGGACACCUCCCGUCUGGCCUGCUUCAUAGAACGCCGCAAGCACCAGAAUGAUGUGCGGCCCAUUCCCAAUGUCAAGAGUUACAUCGUCAAUAGGGUGAACCAAGGGACCUCGCUAUCCCACAACCCCUGAGGUUUCACAUAGUAGUGCAGUGUGAACCAAAGCAAGACUGAGCGUGUCUGUAAAUAACUCUGAUCAUCAUUUCACUCCAUGUGGUUCUCUGGACUGACAGGUGAUCCUCUUAAACCUUGUCUGUGGUUACCCGGGGUCUGAGUACCAUGAAAGUCACCUUAAUCCCAGAAGGUCAUGCUGAAGAAGUAAAGAUACAGAGUUGCAGAAAGUAUUAAAAGAAAGGGCAAGGCUAAGGAGACAGUACUUGGUAUGAAAAUGGUAAUUGUACAUUCCAAAAUGAGCAGUUAAGUGGGAAAACCGUACACCCACUGUGAGCAGUAUGGUAGGUUUCUGACUCCAUUGAAAAUUUAAGCAAAAACAAAAAAACAAAAAAAACAAAAACAAAAAAAAGUUCUAUUUAACAGAGAUGUCAACUAUUCUGCUUUAGAUGGCUUAGAUAUAGUUUCUUAACAGGAUACAUAUACGCAUACAAUAUAAUAGAUCUCAUUCAGGUUUCAGAGUUUUAUAAUAUAGAGUUCUAUAUGAAAUCUAUCAUAAGUAACUUUGAGUGCUCCCAUUAAGACAGUAAUUUCUUUACCGAAGCAUUGCAUUAUUUUGACUAAGCACAAUUAGAUGACAAGUUUUUUAGAGCAUUUUAUAAAUCUUGUAUAGAAAUCUUUUAUCAGAACCUGUGUAUUAAGAGAAAGCAAUGUGACCCUUUUGCGAUCUGUGACUGGGAUAUUUUUCCCUCCAUCAUGGGUUGUAUGACUAAGAUAGGUUCUGUAGAUCAAAGCUUUCCCUGCCCUGAACUCAUGGGCAGCUCAGAGUUCCUCCUGUGGGAAAGACUGCCAGGAAAUAAAUCCAAAUCUAGUAAGAGUUGGCGGGUGGGGGUUGUUUUUAUGUCCACCCUAGGCCUGCCAUAGGCAAAUGAAUAUCACAAGUUCAUACAGGAGGGCACACGGAAGCUUUUCCUACAGUUCCUGUGAACAGCGUAGCAGCGCUUUCUGAUUUCAUAGCUGUAGAAUACAGUUUUCAGAAAGUUAGCUUGCUUUAUUCCUAACCCCUCGUGAAGCUUCGGGGUGCUUACCAAAAGGAGGCAGCCAUAAAAGCCUUUUAAAGGCUAGUCCUAAGUCCUUCCUGAAGCCAUGGAGCAAAGCCUGACCCAUCACUCUAACACAGCACGGGGUUUUAACUGUGGUAGCAAUACCUAUCACCACACAGCCACCAACGGCUCUGGACAGAAAGGACCAAUUGUAUUCUGAGGCCAGUGCCGCUUUCUCAUACAAGAUUAUGCCCAGUGCCCUCUGGAGGGAAAACACAUUAACCAGGGCACUUCAUGUUUUUUUGUUUUGUUAUGUUUUGUUGGUUUUUUGGUUUUUACUUCUUCUGUUGGAAGGGGGGUGGGGGAGGUUUGGUUUUUUGCUUUGUUUUUUUAAAAAUUAUUUUCUGUUUGUACAUGAUCCACCCUUUGUUUCCUAGAGUGUGCUUUAAAAAUCGCUUUGAAGCAAAUAAUAUUCUUAAAAAAUAUAUAACUGAAAUGUUUGUGUAAACCGGGUUUCAUGUCAUCGUGUCGCUCCUGCUAGUGGGAACUGAGAAAAUGGAAGUUAUGUAGCACAAAGUGCAAUCAGAGAAUCUGGGAAGGGAAAAUGGAACUGCAUAACUAUUUAAACUAUUUAAAGGAGACAUGAUGGGAACAGUCUAAUUUUAAGGUAUAAAACCACUUAUUCCCAUGGUGGAACUAUAGAAUUAAAAUACUCAUCACCACCUCCCCCCGCCCCGUCAGUUUCAAAGUCAGAUUACUCAUCAUCCAUCCUCCAUCCCAGCUUAUCCGAGAUGAUAGGGAAAUAAACUAGUAGGAAGUAAAAGCAAUAAAGCUAGAUAGCACCUAGUAUUGUGGGGAUUAACCAAAUACGUGGGAACCGACUCUGACUGUAUUCUCCUUGUCUCCGGGUGGCCCUGGGUCAUCAGGCCUCACUCCCUCAGAGCUUGCUUACCUCCAUGGUUUUCACUUAAACCACAAUGCAUGCCCAAAGCAUGCUUACUGAAGCUUUUUAAAAUAAACGUGUCUUUAUUAAGAAAUGUAGCAUUGAGGAGGAAGGCCUGGGGCCAGAGGGCUUAUUCUAGGAUAAAAUGCAGGCUCUGAGGACUCCAAAGAUCCACAAAGUGACAUGGCCAGGUCUGUUCUGUCCACUUGUCCACUCUGGCUGUCUUGAAAGAAGGGCUUCCUGCUGAGUUACUUAGAAUUGUUCUGACCGGUCAAGUUUUGACUAGAGAGGGACACAGAGCCUAAGACUGGUGUUCAGACGCUACAGAAGGGCCACAUUGAAAGGAUGUAGUGCGUGGUAGAACUCUAUAGAGAGCCAAGUUUUCCCAGCCAUGUUUGUGUCAGAGUUGGAAUGGUCUAGAUAUGGGGCUAUGUGGAAUUGCCCCAGGUACACAGUACAACUGUUAAGAGUAGUGUAAGCUUCAGGGACGUACAAAGAGAAAGGGGCAUUCUCUGUAUAGUUUGAUGACUGAAGUGAACAGGGAGGCCCCUGUCUACAAAGCACCUGAUCCCUCCAAAUAGGGGGCAAGAGAGUCUUGGCUGGAGACUUUUCCCUAGCAAGGUGGGAAUUAGUAAGAGAAACACCAUUGACAGGGCUAGGAAAUAGAGUUUGGAGUACAACUGUGCUCCACAGUGGCUGGAGAAGAAGACCCACCCCAAGACCACUCUCCUGUACCUGUGUUGGCAGGGAGACUUAGAACUAGGAGAGAAAGGUGGGGAGGGGAGAAAAAUCUCCCACUCCGAACCCCAUCCCAAUUGUUCUUGCUGAGAGUGAGCUGUCAGCUGACCCCAGGAGAGCAACAGUGCUGGCGAAAGAUUUCUUAUUUGGUUUCUACUCAUCAUUUUGAGCUCAUUUGUUUUGUGUUCAAAGGGUGGGGUACAGAAAGAUGGAAACGAUCAGGGACAGCCCAGGAUCCCUGAUGAGAACUCAUGAUUUUUUGCGCCAUUUAUGUUUGUUUCGAAUUAAACAGAUUUCUACCCACUUAUAACAGAAUGUGGUUAAAAACUGUUAAGAAAGAAAACAACAAAACACAAAACAAACAAACAAACAAACAAACAUGGCAAUGUUGGAUGUGUCCUUCAGGUCUCUCCCAGCCACCAGCAGCCUAAGUGGGUAGAGGAGGCAGAGGGGAAAGCUGGCUUUGGCUUUGUGCUUAACGAAGCCUUUAUAAACAGUAGUGCCUUUCAGAGGGGAGGUGGAGAGUGAAGUUAGAUUGCGUUUAGAUUUGCUGAUACUGCGGUCUUUUUUUCCCCUUAGGUUUAAGCUAUGUUUUAAAUGAGAAUAUCUGAAUGUAGGAUGGGAACAGGAAUUUUUGAGUCUCCAUCUCAGCUAUUCCAAACCCAGUCUUUCUUCCAGGAAGUCUUUUGUUGUUUUCUGGCCCAAAUGUCUCCAUUGAUAAAAUGGAAUUUGGGGAGAAGAGGAGAGAACAUUAAUCUCUUAAGAAUGUUGAGAAAAAUAUCCUUGUCGACACAUCUAUAAGAUGUUUUGAUUUUCUUCAAGUGCUACACACUGCCAGUGUUUAGAAUUUUAUCGACAGCAACUUUGAACAUUCCAGUUUCCCACAGUCUUAUCUUUGGGUACCGUUUACAAACUCAUGAGGUUGACCUCUGUAAAUUGCUUCUCACUGGAAGGUCUGGGUCCUUCUCAUCUACAUGUUAAUUGUUCUUACCUUUUAAUUUCUAACCUCUAAGAGCUUCUCUACAGAGCAGGGUUUGGGAGAACUGAGGAGGCCUAAAAUGUCCAUAAGCUGUUUUCCACAGUAUUCUUAGGGUGGACAUGAGUCUGAUGCCUACCAAGACAGAGAACCAUUUCUUUCUCUUACCAAGCUUUAUGCUGGGGGCAGGGGGAGGACAAAGAAGAAUCCAAAUAGCUACUUUCCACACUGGAAGGACAGAUGUGAGAAUCGAAUACACUUCCUAGGCUCCCUCGUCACAAUUCAUUUCCUUAGAGACCCACAGGAAUCUUUUAGAAAAGGCAAGUGAUGCCCACAGUGGGAAAGAGAAUUAGAUUUUGGAGAAAGAGAGCUUUGGCUUUGCUCUUCGAGGGUCGUCUUCUGUUGUCUCCAAACCCCCAUGCCCAUGACCCACUCAUCCUUCCUUCCUUCUUGCUUAUCUUGAAAAACAUGGCAAGUUAGAUUUUUGAGAAUAUGAUGGAGAAAAUGCCAUCUAAAGAAAAUGGUGGUUAUUUUUCAGUGUUAAUAGAAACUCUCUCCUCUAUACCUGAUAGAGGGAAAUACAUUGAACACAAAGGGUCUCUGUAGUAGACAAAAGAACACAAUCACCACACCCUAGGAUAGCCCAUCAAUUGCACUGGGUGAGUUUUGAGGAACUUAGACCAUAUUCUUUUCUUGCCUGGGUAACAUUCCAUUGGAGUCUGAGUUAGGCAAACAUAUAUAAGCUUUCAAUAGAUUUAUCUGUUAAAGAAAAAUAAACCUAAUGAUUUUUGUUUGCUAUUUGAAAUCUAAAGACCUUUAGGGAAGGAAGUUAUUAGACCUAGAAUAGGCUAAAGGAAAUGCUCACAUAGAUUCCACCAACAGGAAAGAAGAUGCUAUGUUAGUAAUUAUUUUCUGAGAAUGGUAAGGCUCUCACUGUCUCAUUCAUUUUAAAGAGCUCAAAGGGGCUGAAAUUUAUCCAUAGACAUAUUUUUUUUAAAUAGGAAAUGUUUUUCAUGAAAAAUCCAUAUGGAAAUUGAAUACAGAAUUAUCAUAUGAUCAUAUUUGUUAUAAAAGACAUUUUUCUCUUAUUUUUUAAAUAUAAGUUGACAUUAUAGGAGAAGAAAACGGUCAUUCCACUACAAUGCUUUAAUCUUAAAUGACAUUAAUUAAAAGCCUAAAAUUAACACUCCCAGGCUAUUGUCAAGAACUUCCAUGCUGUGGUCAGAUUUCAUUUUUAUCUGAAUGACCAACCCAACAGUUCACAAGGGGGGAGCGCAAGGAAAGGUUUAGAUAGCAAGUCUUGGAACUCCUGAGUGUUAAUUUAACCAAGUAGAUCUGCCAGUGCAGGGAUAGGAGCUGCAUUAAUCCCCCAUUUCCAUCAAUAACUAAGUCCGCAUGUCGGAGUCCAUGAAGACCGUUACUGUGACCUCAAAGACUGUGGCUACGAAUCUCAAGUCUUCUCUUACUAACUUAAGCCAUAUCUUUCACCUCUGUGUUUGAAUUUUUUUUUUUUUAAAUCAAAACCCUGGUGCUUUUACUUCUGUUUCUGCUGAACGUUAGACGACUCUGUGGGAAAGUCAAUAAAACUAGAAGAGGAAUAAAUAGAAAGACUGUGAAAAACUAACCAUACCCUUGAGAAAAUGCUAUUUAUGCAGAGAACAGUGGCAAUGGAGGGCAAACUGUUGGAAAAUAUUGAUAUAUGUACAUCUGAGCAUGUAUAUAGUGUAUAAUAUGUAUGUAUAUGUUAUUGCUCAUAUGCAGAAAUCUAUCCAUUUUUCAGGCAGCCCAGGUGGGUCAGUUUUUCUACUGGAAAACCAUUUAGGACCAUUCAAAACCAUUAGGGAUAAUACAUGGAGAAUUCUCGUCACAUGGGAGUUGAUUUGUUGACUUCUGAAGUCCACAUGGCCAAAUGAACAAAGUAUGAAAUGCAUUGAGACUAUAAUUUAUGUGACUCUGUUUACUCAGAAGUCUAUAUUUGAAUUCUUUUGUAUGUGUGUAUGUUUGGAUUUUUUUGUUUGUUUGUUUUUGAUGAGACAGGGUCCCUCUAUGUAGUUGUGGCUGUCCUGGGACUCAUUCUAUAGACCAGGCUGGCCUUGAACUCACAGAGGUCUGCCUGCCUCUGCCUCCUGAGUGCUGGGAUUAAAGGCAUGUGCCAUCAGGUCCAGCCAAUAUUUGAAUUUUAAUAUCUGAUUUUCAAACUGCACCAACACUUCUUGGUUUUGAGUGAUCCCUUCCCCAAAGCCUUUUGAGAAUUUGUGGUGGGCAUCUCUGGCCAAUCUGUAAAAGGCCUUAUCAAUAAGUGGACAGGUUUCCCCAUAGGGACCAUUACACAUAUACAUAUAAGUACAUACUUCCAUCAGGCUUGUGACAAUUGUUUUAAAAUCACUCCACAGUAUUGGUAAAUAGCUCUAUAUUUUCAAGGUGCAGAAGAAUUCCACAGCCUUAAUUAUUUCAGUGUCUUGCUGGUCUGCCUUAAUGUAUCUUCUGGGGUUUUUGGGUUUUGGUUGUCUUAUUAUUUUAACUUUUUCUGCAGCUGUUCAUUUUGUAUGCACAUGAUGUUGUUUUGUAAAGGUAGGUUGUAAAUAUUUUAUUUGUAAGUCUGACUCACUCACUCACUCACUCACUCACUCACUCCUGUGUAAUGUUGUAAAGUGCCGACCUGCUGUCUUGUUCUUAUUGCAGUAAACGUUAUAAGUUGUGGAUGAAACUUCAAAAUGUACAUUUCACAUGUUAUGCAUUCCUAUAAAUAUAAUAUACUGAAGGUA